rnacentral:rRNA from 1 species
CCUACGGGAGGCAGCAGUGGGGAAUAUUGGACAAUGGGGGCAACCCUGAUCCAGCCAUGCCGCGUGUGUGAAGAAGGCCCUCGGGUUGUAAAGCACUUUCAGUGAGGAAGAACGCCUGGUGGUUAAUACCCAUCAGGAAAGACAUCACUCACAGAAGAAGCACCGGCUAACUCCGUGCCAGCAGCCGCGGUAAUACGGAGGGUGCGAGCGUUAAUCGGAAUUACUGGGCGUAAAGCGCGCGUAGGUGGCUUGAUAAGCCGGUUGUGAAAGCCCCGGGCUCAACCUGGGAACGGCAUCCGGAACUGUCAAGCUAGAGUGCAGGAGAGGAAGGUAGAAUUCCCGGUGUAGCGGUGAAAUGCGUAGAGAUCGGGAGGAAUACCAGUGGCGAAGGCGGCCGUCUGGACUGACACUGACACUGAGGUGCGAAAGCGUGGGUAGCAAACAGGAUUAGAUACCCGUGUAGUC